rnacentral:rRNA from 1 species
UACGUAGGCAGCGAGCGUUGUUCGGAGUUACUGGGCGUAAAGCGUGCGUAGACGGUAGCGUAAGUCAGAUGUGAAAGCCCCGGGCUCAACCUGGGAACUGCAUUUGAGACUGCUCUGCUCGGGUGCGGAAGAGGGAAGCGGAAUUUCCGGUGUAGCGGUGAAAUGCGUAGAUAUCGGAAGGAACACCAGUGGCGAAAGCGGCUUCCUGGUCCGACACCGACGUUCAGGCACGAAAGCGUGGGGAGCAAACAGG